CUGCCAGUAGCAUAUGCUUGUCUCAAAGAUUAAGCCAUGCAUGUCUAAGCAUAAAUAAUUUUAUGGUUGAAGCUGCGAAUGGCUCAUUAAACCAGUUAUUAUCUGCUCGGCGAAUACUCUAAUUGGAUAACCGUUGUAAUUCAAGAGCUAAUACAUGCAAAAAGUCUCGACUGUGGCAACAUGGAAGAGAUGGAAUUAUUAGUAUACAAAAAUCAAUUCUGGCCAUUCCAAACUGCGGCGGGCAACCGUCGUGGGGUCAGGUUCCUUGAUGAUUCAUAAUAAUCAACCGAAGCGCAGGGCUCGUCCCGGCGCUGGCACGAAUGAGUUUCUGACCCAUCAACUAUGUUUGCAGUAUAGGGGACUGCAAAGGUUAUAACGGGUAACGGGGAAUAAGGGUUCGAUUCCGGAGAGGGAGCCUGAGAAAUGGCUACCACUUCCAAGGAAGGCAGCAGGCGCGCAAAUUACCCAAUCGUAAUUCACGGAGGUAGUGACAAGAAAUAGGAUUGUAGGACGCUACGCGUUCCUACAUUUCCAAUGAGUACAAUGUAAACACCUUAACGAGGAACAACUAGAGGACAAGUCUGGUGCCAGCACCCGCGGUAAUUCCAGCUCUAGUAGUGUAUGUUGAAGUUGCUGCAGUUAAAAAGCUCGUAGUUGGAUUUCGGAACGCGGUAGUCAAAGUCCGUCUCAACGGCGUGGCUCGACGUCCGCUUCCUAUCUUGAGAUAAUGGCCCUCUUCCUUCACGGGUUGGGGUGUCCGUUUCUCAUAUUUUACUUUGAAAAAAUUCGCGCGCUCAAUGCAGGCGUAACUUGCUAUGAAGAUUACAGCAUGGGAUAAUGGAAUAUGACAUUGGUCUUAUUUUGUUGGUUUCUAAGGCUAACGUAAUGAUUAACAGGGGUGGUCGAGGUCGCUUGUAUUCGGUAGCUAGAGGUGAAAUUCUAUGAUUUACCGAAGACAAACUACUGCGAAAGCAUUCGACAAGGACGCUUUCAUUAAUCAAGAACGAAAGUUGGGGGAUCGAAGAUGCUUAGAUACCGUCGUAGUCUCAACUAUAAACGAUGUGAACCAAGGAUCCGGUUUAGAUGAUGGAUGUCUUUCCGGGCACUUACGUGUGAAAACAGAGUAUUUGCAUUCCGGGGGGAGUAUGGUCGCAAGGCUGAAACUUAAAGGAAUUGACGGA
rnacentral:rRNA from 1 species